CGACAACAUUGACUCUUCGGAUGAUUUGUUGGGCGUCGAGCGGCGGACGGGUGAGUAAUGCCUAGGAAGUUGCCCGGUAGAGGGGGAUAACCAUUGGAAACGAUGGCUAAUACCGCAUGAUCUCUACGGAGCAAAGCAGGGGACCUUCGGGCCUUGUGCUACCGGAUACGCCUAGGUGGGAUUAGCUAGUUGGUGAGGUAAUGGCUCACCAAGGCGACGAUCCCUAGCUGGUCUGAGAGGAUGAUCAGCCACACUGGAACUGAGACACGGUCCAGACUCCUACGGGAGGCAGCAGUGGGGAAUAUUGCACAAUGGGCGAAAGCCUGAUGCAGCCAUGCCGCGUGUAUGAAGAAGGCCUUCGGGUUGUAAAGUACUUUCAGUUGUGAGGAAGGGGGUAAGCUUAAUACGCUUAUCUCUUGACGUUAGCAACAGAAGAAGCACCGGCUAACUCCGUGCCAGCAGCCGCGGUAAUACGGAGGGUGCGAGCGUUAAUCGGAAUUACUGGGCGUAAAGCGCAUGCAGGUGGUUCAUUAAGUCAGAUGUGAAAGCCCGGGGCUCAACCUCGGAACUGCAUUUGAAACUGGUGAACUAGAGUACUGUA
rnacentral:rRNA from 1 species